UGUAGCUACCCUUCUCUCCUUUAAUUGCUCUGAGACCUCGUGUGAGAGCCUAAGCUCAAGGCUUAGAGACCAGGUGAAAAGCCUGGUUCAGUCCAAAUUGCUGAUGCACAGAAUCCUGAGCAAAUAAAAGCUUCUCAAGUGACCAUGUAUCAAGGAUUGUUUCAAAGGAUGGAGAGAAACUCACAACCAGCCUAUCCUUCUCUGCCAAAGAAAAAAAAAAGUACAAACAGGGCCAGUUUCAUGGUCAUGUGAACUGUACACUUUUAUAGGGUCCCAUGCUUGGUUUAACAAAUUCUGUAGUUAAUUCUGGCUACUAUCUAUAAUCUUUAUCUGUAGUUUCUUGCUAUUCACCCACUCCUUGUUAUCUUGCAGUCUGACUUCUCCCUUUAUGGUUGAAUAAGACCUCUCUCGGGUCAUCUACUGCCCUAUGGCCAGUUCCCAUGGUCUUUCUUUCAUCCUCACCCAUUCGCCCAUUUUAAUGUGCCUAAAGCAUUUGGCACUGUUGACAGACCCUACCUUUAAGUUUCCUCUUUGGUUUACAUGACUAUAUCAUGGUUUUCUUCUUAUCUCUGAAUUUGAUAAAGCCAAGUAGAAUAAUGCAAUAAAGUUAAUAGUUAUA